GGCCACAUCAGAUUGAAACACAGGUUCCCGUACGUUGACCGUAGUUAAGCAACGUCUAUCCUGAUCAGUACUUUGAUGGAUGACCGCGUGAGAAUGCCAGGUUCUGUAAG